CCCUGCAACACGCUGCAGGCCAACCCGCUCACUCCCUCCGUGUUGGGUUACAAUGACAAGGGCCCUGUCUGAACCACGACUUUUAGAAAGAUAAUAUUACAGGCCCACAGCUGAUCCAUCCCCCAGUACACAAUCGAGACAGAGGAGGUUAAAGCACUCUGAACGCAUGGGACCAUAUUGCAGCUGGAGAUGCACGAUGGCACCGCAGUCAAAGAGGCAGUAAAUAUGGAGAGAAGUAAAGGUAUUUGUGCCUGUGGCAGGGUCUUGGUCUUUUGUUCCCUCCUGCUCCCUCCUCUGCACUGCGAGUCGACCGGCACGC